CAUGUGGUGUAAUUUGAAGCAACGCGAAGAACCUUUCCUCCCCUUGACAUCCCCGGGAAAGCCGGUGGAAACAUCGGCCCCUCUCCGGAGUCCGUGCACAGGUGGGGCAUGGCUGUCGUCAGCUCGUGUCGUGAGAUGUUGGGUUAAGUCCCCCAACGAGCGCAACCCUCCCCUCCUAGUUACCACCCGGUUAUGCCGGGCCCUUUAAGGGAACUCCCGGGGUCAAACCGGGGGAAAGGGGGGAUGAGGUCAAGUCUUCAUGGCCCUUACGUCCCGGGGGACCCCCGUGCUACAAUGGGCGGUACACAGGGUCGCCAAACCGCGAGGGUGGGGUCAUCUCUAAA
rnacentral:rRNA from 1 species